rnacentral:tRNA from 1 species
GGGGAGAUGUCCGAGUGGUUGAAGGAGCACGCCUGGAACGCGUGUAAGGUGCAAAGCCUUCGAGGGUUCGAAUCCCUCUCUCUCCGCCA